rnacentral:rRNA from 1 species
CCUACGGGAGGCAGCAGUGGGGAAUAUUGGACAAUGGGGGCAACCCUGAUCCAGCGAUGCCGCGUGAGUGAAGAAGGCCCUCGGGUCGUAAAGCUCUUUAGGUUGGGAAGAAGGAUGUGGGGUGAAUAUCCCAGCAUUUUGACGGUACCAACAGAAUAAGCACCGGCAAACCCUGUGCCAGCAGCCGCGGUAAU